GAGUUACUUUAUAUGCAUUAUGAAUUUGUUGAAAGAACAAUUUCAAAACUGAUGAUUACCUCUGGCCUCAUUCUCACAUGCCACUAUAGUGCGUCACCCUUCAGACAGAUAACCAUCAAGUUUACCUCCCCUUUUGAAACAUUUCUAAAGUAAAAAAUUGCUCAUCCUUGUACUUUUCCAUGUGAAUUUAUUAUAAUAGUGUUAUAGAAAAAUGAGAAAUAAGGGAGAGGAUCCGGUUUUAGAAAAGGGACGCCAAUACCCAUAUGCUUAAAUGAAUAAUUCCAACAGAAUGCCUCAUUCCUUUCAAUGCUGUACGCUCCAUAACUUUGAUUUGCUGUUUUCUCUUUCCCCUAGUUUUCCCCCUUCUCCCCGUUCAUUUUCUCUUUUUGCAGAAUGUAACCUCUUGCUUUCUCACCUUGCUGGGGUGGGUUCCCUCCAAAUACAUCUUAAGGUUUCUUUUUAUUUGCAGGUUCCCUGAAGAAUAGCUUCUCCGUCUUCAUCACUGCAGUGUGCGGCGGUCCCAGUCAUGAUCUUCCCUGACGCAUUUCAUUUUUCACCUCCACCUACCAUAGGUUCUCAUCUCAUUCUACUUUCCACCCAUGCCUUCUUUCCUUUUAAUAUCAUUUCUCCUCCUCUCCAUUGACAUCCAAAGAUUUCUCUUACUAAUUUUUAUUCUUUCGUUCUAACCAUGUUAAUUUCCUUUCUCAUAAUCCAAAUGUGUUGAGCCUGUCGUCAUGGGGUGUUGUGAUGAAAAUUUACUUUCCUCUCAAUGUCUGAAUCCCUUAAAACAUCCCUUUCAAUGUUUCACAUUUACCAUCAUCCUCUCUCAAGUCUUUGCUCAGAUUUCUGGCCUGCAGGUUUUUCUUCCACACUUCCUAGUUGUUACUUCCUCUCCAGUGUUUCCCAUUUCUCUCCUACCUCUGUCCUAAAAGUUUUCACUUCUUAAAUUACUACGGAGUCUUCUUGCUGUUUAUUUCUCUUUAUAUUUCUGAUAUUUCUUUUUUUUUUCAACGGUUCUAUCUUCUACCUUUUUACUUUUACAGUUAGACUCUUCCCUCACCACCUUAUUUUUCCAGAAACCUCUACCUGCCUGUUUUAUGACUUUUUAUUGCCCCUCCUCCAUUUGUCUAUAUCAUUAUUCCUUGCACUAUGCUUCCAUGGAUUGUGCUUUUAUAUAUGGAGGGUGCUUUUAAAUAUCUGUUAGCUUCCCUUAAUAAAAAUCCAGCAUUCACUUAAGAAUAGCUACCAAAAAAGAUUCUUCAUUCAACUUAGAAAACAUUGAGACAAUUCAUGAGACAAUUCCCAUUUAACCUCUCAAUUCUUGUUCAUGACAGAGAGAGAGAAAAAGUCAGUGUUUAGGUAAGACACACACACACACACACACACACACACACACACACACACACACACAUACCCUAAGACACUGGAAGCAUACUGAUGGCAUGGAAAACAUUAAAUAUGGAGCCAAAAGCUGUAGAUUUGAAUCCCGGCUCUUUUUCACAUUAAGCAAGUAAUAGGUCAAUUUUCCAAUAGUCAUCCAACUUUUCUGGGUCUCAGACUCCUCAUUUGUAUUAAAUGUCUUCUCUGUCUAGCUCCUACAAUUGUUGUAAAGAUCAAAUGAGAUAUUUUUGUCAAUGCACCUUGUACAAUAUUAAACACUCUAUAACCAUGAGUCGCAAAUGUUACCUUUUGUGUUUAAAGUGGAUACAUUUGGAAACAUGAUUUACAAAAAUAUAACUUUUAAAAUCAAUGUAGUUCCUUUACUUUUGAAGAAGAUCAAACAGUUCCCAGGCCAAUAUAAUUUGUUUGCAAUUACAUGAACAGAAAAAGUUCAUGAUCUCAAUAUUUAUGAAGAUGUUAGUUUAGAGUGGGAGAUGUGAAAAAAUGUUAACUGAAGGGCCUUGUAUUAUUUGAUUUGGGUUUUAAAGAAUCUACUUUUGGAUAAUUUGCAAAAUACACAGUUCGCUGUGUAGGUAAUAGUGAGUCAGGAGCCAAACCAUCUUUCUUGUAACUACCUCAAAGGCUAUCUUUGCUGAACUAUUCCUGCCUCCCAUUAUCAAAUUUCAAAGUCAGCAUUUGUUCUAAAUGGGGCUGAUUUAUUUGGCCUAAGAUAGUUCCAACUUUUACCUGAUGCUGAUUGUAUAAACAAAUACCUUAGCAUUCUGCCGUGAAUAUAGAAACCACUAUGGAUUAAGUAUAUUUCUUAUGGUCAAGCAAAUCAUAUUUGGAAUUCUAA
rnacentral:lncRNA from 10 species